CGGUGCCAGCAGGCACUGAGACACUGCAGCUGCAGCUUGCUGUCCUUCCCUGGCCAGGAUCUUUGUGCCUCUCCCAAGGACAUCCCCUCCCACCACAAAAUGGGAGAAAGCAACGGCUCCUGCAGAGGAGAACUGGGUGGUCACUGACAUUCCCUGGAGCCCCUCACACGUGGUGGCCUCUGAGCUUCUGCAGGAAGGCCAAGAACAGUGUAUUGAUCUGAUCAGAUUUUCAGCCUCGGUGCAACUACCUGCUAUUUUCAUCCCCAAGACUUUGGAGAAGACAGGACAUCUGCACCAUGUCAGGCUGCCCAGAGCCCUGCCUAGAGGCUGCAAGAUACUCCCUGUUCCCAGUGCCCUGGAUUGAACCACA